GGGAAGUGGUCCUGACGGUAUGGACGGCUGGAACGGGCCAGCCGGGAGGCGGCAUGUGGACGCGUGUGCAUCUGGGCCUUGGGAUGCCACCAGGGAGCCCGGCUUUUGCCUAAGUGACAGUGUGGCGGGAGCGUCAGAAGGCUCCAAUCAGGGAUGGAGACACCAUUGGAUGUCCUGUCCAGGGCCGCCUCUUUGGUGCAUGCUGAUGAUGAAAAACGGCGGCGUCACAGGGAUACCAGC